rnacentral:rRNA from 1 species
GAAUUUAAACCUCUUCCAGAGUAUCAAUUGGAGGGCAAGUCUGGUGCCAGCAGCCGCGGUAAUUCCAGCUCCAAUAGCGUAUAUUAAAAUUGUUGCAGUUAAAAAGCUCGUAGUUGAAUUUCUGCUGCAUUGCUUUUGCUCCUUUACGAGUCUUUGCAUUGUGGCUUAUUUCGGACUUUGUUUUACAAUGUCCGGAUGUUUACUUUGAGAAAAUUAGAGUGCUCAAAGCAGGCUUUCGCCUUGAAUAGUUUAGCAUGGAAUAAUAAAGUAGGACUUUGGUUCUAUUUUGUUGGUUUUAGGUACCAAAGUAAUGGUUAAUAGGAACAGUUGGGGGCAUUCGUAUUUAACUGUCAGAGGUGAAAUUCUUAGAUUUGUUAAAGACGAACUACUGCGAAAGCAUUUGCCAAGGA